GCGGCCGCCCCUCAACCAACCCCCAGGCGGCAAGGCCCUCUCCACGCGCGCUCUCCAGCCUGGCGGGGCCCUGGAAGCCGGGACACGCGGAGGCCGGGAGGGUCAUCGGCGUUUAAGGCAGCCUCCCACACCAAGUGCACCGCCCGGAUCCCCUCUGCACGAGGGCUUUCUGCUUAUUGCUCUUUUCCCCAGCAGCCAGAAUCGUCACCGUAGCGCGGGAAGGGGCCUCGCGGGCCGUCUGCAGCAGGUGCGGCCGGGAGCCGCAGGCCCGCGCGGUAAAUCGCUGUCUCUUUGCGGUCGUUGUUCCCAUUCACCGCCCGCCGCCCCCCGCCCCACCACGGUUCUUUUUUUUCUUUCCGCCGCGCAGUUGCCAUGGGUUACCAGGGCGGUUGCCAUGGGUUACCGGACCGAGGCCGGCUGGCUCGCUACCUGCAGCCCAGUCGCCGCCGCCAGCGGAGCGGCCCGGGCGGGACGCGGCGGGAGCGCGCGUGUGCGGGACGCAGCGCGGGGGAUGCGCGCGGGCCGCGGAGGCGCCGCAACCAACAGGCGGCCGAGGGUGCAGCCGCGGGAGCGCCACCGCCAGUGGGGUGGGGGGCAAAGCUAUAAAGAAGGCCCAGAGGAUUCCUGCGGAGCUGUAUUUACUUUACAUCCAUGUGAACUGCUGUCAUCACUACUGUGUCCAAGCCCAGAGGAUGAACUGGAAAAGAAGAGAGGGGGAAAAUAAUAAAAAGAGGAAAUUGGUUUUCACAACACACUCAAAGCCUGAGUAACAGAGGAGAACUUUAAUUAUCUCCAGUCACAAAGAGAGACAGGAAAUUUGGACUUUUAAUUAGCCAUUUGGAGUGCAGUUGGGUAUUUUUUUAGCUAGAUAAUUUAAACGCGAAUAAUUCAAGUCUGACUAAAUGAAAGUCACAUAAUCAGAAUGCAAAUAAUUGAAUUUCUACUGCAUUCAUUAAUUCAGUGUGGAGGUGUGUGUGAAGACUACUAUGAUGAGCUGUCACAGCUCAAUAAAAUCUCAGUCAAUUAAUUUUUUCAUUAUCUUAGUAUUAUAUCAACAAAAAAGUGAAGUGUGUAUAUAUAUCUAUACACGUGCAUAUGUGCAUACUAUGUAUUAUAUAAAUACAUAUACAUUAAAUCAAAAUGCAAGGAAAUACCUUUCUGAAUCAUAAUCUAUAUCAUUUUCUUUUUUUCCUUCUUCAUCUUCUUCAGGGAAACGUCUAUUCAUUAAGGCAAACUUGUGAAUUGCUUCUUCCACAGAGUACUUAGUCUGCCCAGAAACACACGCCUCAAUGUCUUCUGAAUUCAGAUGGCUCUGUAAGAAGAGGUGAAGGCUGCUAUCUGAAAGCAAAAGUGCAUUCUGUAGGACUCUAUAUUAAAAAAAAAAGGAAAAAUAAUUGGUGAACAGGAUGGUCAGUGAUAGGGUAGAAGAAAGAAAAACAUUAGAAAAGUACCACUGAAGGUAAUUUCUCUACUGUGGUAAACUUUGUAUCAAUUAUGGGCUCUGCCCAUUAAGGGGAGGAAAGCAUAUGUUAACUUUUAUUCAAUUAUUUGGAAAUUUAGGUGGGUAAAAACAUGAAGCUAAUAGUUAAGAACAUCUGUUAAAAGAAUAACUUCAAGGACAUUUCUUCAAUUUACCCAUCUCUUAUUACCAUGUGGAUUAAUUAUGGAAAUAUUUUGCUUAUAUAGUCAUAGAAAGUUAUUCUACUUUAAAAAAUUUACUGCCAACAGCAUGUCAAUUCAGUGAUCUUUAUGGGAUAGGCUGUCAUGAAACAUCAAAACUUUCAACUACUAUUAAAAAUUAUAUGAAGAAAAUACAAUUCUCAGCAUAUUUUACAUUUUAAAACUUUACAGUUAUAUACUUAAGGGCAUGUUUACGACAGCUCAUGAGAGAGAUGGCUUUUUUUAAUACUUAAGGUUAACUGUAAAUUUCUCCAAAAUCUUUAGGAGCACUGAAUCUCUGUGUUGUCAAAAUGAGCAACCAAAUAAAAUUGAUCCCAGCCAACUUUACCAUAUAUAUAAUUAAAAUAUGAUAAUUUUGUG
rnacentral:lncRNA from 1 species